UGGGGAAUCUUGGACAAUGGGGGCAACCCUGAUCCAGCCAUGCCGCGUGAGUGAUGAAGGCCUUAGGGUCGUAAAGCUCUUUCGCCUGUGAAGAUAAUGACGGUAGCAGGUAAAGAAACCCCGGCUAACUCCGUGCCAGCAGCCGCGGUAAUACGGAGGGGGUUAGCGUUGUUCGGAAUUACUGGGCGUAAAGCGCACGUAGGCGGACCAGAAAGUUGGGGGUGAAAUCCCGGGGGCUCAACCCCGGAACUGCCUCCAAAACUAUUGGUCUAGAGUUCGAGAGAGGUGAGUGGAAUUCCAAGUGUAGAGGUGAAAUUCGUAGAUAUUUGGAGGAACACCAGUGGCGAAGGCGGCUCACUGGCUCGAUACUGACGCUGAGGUGCGAAAGUGUGGGGAGCAAAACAGGAUUAGAUACCCCUGGUAGUCCACACCGUAAAACGAUGAAUGCCAGUCGUCGGGGUAGCAUGCUAUUCGGUGACACACCUAACGGAUUAAGCAUU
rnacentral:rRNA from 1 species